GGUCAUCAAAACAUACAUAAUUGUUGCCGAAGCCCUCUUGCUAAAGGUAUAAUACUCCCCCCUUAGCAAAGGGUGAAUUCUCUGGUUUUGAUUGGCCGGGAGAAACUCCAUGAGUCUUGAGGAUUUUCAGAAAUGUUGGAAUCAGUGAUGUUUUGUUUCUGAUGAUAUUAUCCGAUGGAGGUGACAGGGAGAGAGGAUGCUAGGUCAAUGGUGUUGGUGGUGAAGGAUUUUGGCGCAUCCAAGGAUAUAACCAACAUAAAAACAAUGCUUACAAGGAGAUAUCGGCUCAUUUGAUUGCUAUAUUGGCUUUGGUCACCCUUGUGGGGCUCCUUAUCUCUGAAGCAAAGAUGGGAUGCUCUUUGGACUCAGGAAGAUGAACAAGAUAGAAAAAGAAAGGGAUCAACCUUGCCAUGACCCCAUAUUUCUGUAGGCUAAUAUCCCUUAUUUGCACUAUCCUACACCGAAUACUUAUAGGGUUAUGUGCCUUUGUCAUGCAACACAUGUCAAUGGCAGUUCAGGAAGAGAUGACAUCACAAGUGAGCUCAAUUGAUAAGCCCACUAGCAGAAAUUUUUUGUUUGAGGUGACUGCCACUGGGCCCAUAUAAUUAUUGUUCCAGCGGCAGUGAAGCGCUCGAUCGACUGAGUCCGUUGCCAACGAUGCUCCCGGUGAAAAAAACCCUAAGACCGAGAGGUAAAAAGAGAUCGCCUCCUCCUCACUCCUCCCACACCCGGUGGCGCCUCCUCCCUCCUCCCACCACCUCCUUCCAUGGCCGUACCCCACUGCCUCGACACCACCUCCUCCCCUUCCUGGCGGCGCCUCCUUCCUCCUCCCACGACCUCCUUUCACGGCGGUGCCCCGACCUAACCGAUCUUCCCCGUCUUCAGUCAAGGGCCCGGUCGACCGGAGAAGUUGGAGAUCAGUAGUGGCGGAUGCACGUCCUCUUGGUCGUCGCCGGCCAGAGAAGGUAGGGAGCAGCGGAUGCCAGAGAGGGAGGCGGCUCGGCGUGGACCGGCCAUGGCGCUGGCGCUGCUAACUCCCACCGGCCUCCUUUGUCUCCUAGCCACAGCCUGCUCCAACCCCUCCUCUGAUGUGGUGUGGUGGGAGAAGGAAGAAGAGCAGGCAUGCUCUCUGUCUACAUUCAGCGUCCACACGGCUAGAUCGACGGGUCUAAACUAUGGGUGCCAUUCUAUCUCAGAUGUAGUACAUUGUGUGUAUGAAUCAUGGUGAAUGUCAAGCCUACUUAGGUCAUACCCAAGUAAGAUCCGCGGCACAGUAGGAGAGGUGACACCGGCCGGCAGCGCCUCACCACCAGCUAUUGUUUGGCGGCGGCAAGGAGAAUGGCGCUUAGGAUCUGCUGCGCUGUGCAUGGCUGUUGAAGUUCAGCAUCGCCAUGAUGUCAAACAAAAGCUUGGCAGCCAUCUACUUUCAGAGAGUUUGAAAGCGUACUAUCACCCUAACUCGGUUAUCCAGAUUAAUGGUAAGUGUGUGUUUUCUUGUAUACCGAUCUACAGAAUUACAAUUGAGAUCUCUACCUCCUUUAUUUCCCUUUUGUCAUCUUUUCUGGCUUUUAUUCUACUACUCAAAAUGUUUGACUAUUCAAUUAUAAACGUCAUGCAGCAGAGAUUACUUUCUUACUCCCUUCAGACAUGAUUUCUCUGCCCAAACAUUCAAUUGAACUGACACUAGCAAUAUUGAUCAGCUGAACUUGCAGAAGGGGAGAGGUACUGAAGGAACAUCUUACGUAUUUUUGGUCUGAUAUUCUUUGAGUACAUAACUAUCCAUUUAUUAAAAACUAUAUUUGAUGGACAAAUUGAACAACACAAUUUAAGGAUGAUAAAAAAAUAAUUUUAACAAGUGGAAGUAAUGUAUGGUACCGUGUAAAAAUGAAAGGUAUAGUUUUCCCACUCCUCCAAGAUGAGUUCAGUGCCUGUGUUUAAACCAUGGAUGUAGAGAUGGUCGGGUCAAAUGAAAUGUAUGAAUACUACUACAAUUGUUGAACAUUUGAUGAAACCAGAAGCACAUAAAAGGAAGUAAGUAGAUUACAUAUAUGUAAGUUAGUCUUGUGGCUGACACUCACCAUGAUAAAUAUAACCCCGGACGCAUAUGCCAACCAAUGUUUAAGCGACUCAAGGACAAACUAAUGCUAUAUAUCGAUGCCUGCUGCUUAGGUUCAAAAGAGAAGUAAUUGUACCUGAAGCAGUGGACACAACCAUUCCUUGCAUUUGUAAGAGUUGUGAAGUAGUACAAUAACCGUCUUUCUUUCAGGAGCAGUGUCGUUAAGUUUCAGUAGAAGUACAGGUACACGUUCCUGUUCAGCUGACUAUUGGAAAAAAAGUGAUAACAGAUUCUGUUAUUCAGGGAGCAAGAGUCAAAAUUUCUUCAACUAGCUUCUCCUAAGUUGCCCACCUCUUUCCUCGGGCAUGACUCCAUGGCUUGGAUAAAGCAGCAGAAUCAACACAAUCACCUCCAAAAGCAGCAGAAACAAGAGCAUUAAUUGGGUGCUUUUGCAAACUACAAAAAGUAUUCCACCACUCAUUAUCUACCUUGGUUGGUGAGAUUUUUGAAUUGAGCCUUAUAAACCGGAAAGGAGGGAGUAUCGAUUUGUCAUGCGUGCAUGCCUUCUCGAUUGUUUGUUGUUGCCGACACGUUAAGUGAUCACGUGUCUGUGUUGCCGCCUAAUCCAUGGUCGUUCUUUCUGAGAGACAGUGGGAAUACAAAUACUGAGAUUUGCUUCCCAUUUUCCUUUGAUCGUGACCGUGAAAAUGCAGAGUAGUCCGAGGAGGCGUCAACCGCGUGGGCUCCUCCCUACAUGCCCCCUGACCCAGCCGUCACAUAUCCUCCUUCGUUACACCCGAUUCGUUGAAUGCUUGAUGCGAUGGAGGUUGCGGCACAGCGGCCGACGGGAGCAUGCAAGUGGGUGAUGGUCGUAGCACGGCGAUGUCGUACGGUCGCUCGGCGUGCAGUAGGGCCCGGUGGUGCCAGAUUGCCCGUGCGGCACACAUCUGUAGCGGAGCGUGGAAGUUCGGUUGGUGUGCGCAGCAAGCGUGACACUGGCACAACUGCGGCACACCGCUUGACCUUUUGCCGCCGUGUGUAUUUUAUUUUUGUGUGCGUAUUCGACGUACAUUUUUUGGCAGAUUAUACGAUCUUGCUCACCUACAAAAUUAGCUAGCUUUCAUUGUUCAUAAAACAAGAUGGAUUGAUCCACAAGCCUGCUUAUACGUGAGUUCAGUAAUGACCAGAGAAUCGAUCAAGCCUCCUCUAUCUAUUAAAAUAUCUCUGUCCAUAUUGAACACAUAGAGUUGGUGGUUAGCGCCCUAGCCAGCCUGGGUCGAUGUUCGAGAAUCAGAAUUAACUCUAAGAUGAGCUCCUCGAAUAGUCUCUCUCUCUGGGCAAUGAUGAUGCCGAGGCCAGUGUGACUAUUUUCCAGCAGAGCAGUGUUCAACAUUGGCGGCAACCAUUUUUUAUGGUGGCUUGUGAGAUUUCUCUACUGUUUAGACACAAAUUUGCUCUGUGUGAUGCACCAGGGCUGUGGAUAAGGAUUUUCUGAUUUUCUGUUUGCCGCAUCUGGGUGUUUCUCAUCUGAACAUGAAUUCAAAAUGUUCCAUUUUGCAUCCAAGUAAAACUGUUGGUUCACAACGAUUCUAUCUAUCAUUUACCUAAUCGCUCACUAUUCUUAAUUCUGAUAGGGAGGCGCACAUGGAGGAAGGUGAAGCAUAUGCUUUCACCUUUAAAUACACUUUCAAAGGAUUGCGCCUGAUCGUCUAUUCAAUAUAAUCAAGUUGUAAGAGUCCCUUAUUAUAUAACUUAGCAUUAGUAUACAUGCCUAUCAAGACUUCUAUGUUUAUCAUGUUUUUGAAUCUCAUGUAAUCAUCUAAGACCAUCAUGUGUGUUUAACUCUCGGUCAUUUGCUACUGACGAAUUAGAGUCAUCUUGAUAGAGAUAACAAGCCCUUUCUAUGUAUUAUCAAUAGGAUCAAUUCUAACAAGUCACACACUCAUAUUCCAGAGAUACCGAAA